UGCUAAGUAAUGUGUGCAUACAGCAAGCUGCUCUGUCAAUGUCACAUUAAUUAUCCCAUAAUAUUGGACUUGAUUCUUGGUGUGAACUUAGAUGUGCAUUCCCUUGCAUCGCAAUAAAUCAUGUACUAAGCCAUACCUGUUACUGCAAAAAUGUUUCUAGUAAAGCUGAUCCCCCCAAUUAGCUGAGAAAUGAACAGGAAGAGAUUUCCCCUGUCCUCUGUUUAUUUCCUCAGGUAUUAGAAAUUUAUUUCAUUCAGUUGGUGUGGACAGACUUGGCUAUUCAGUGAGCACCAGCGUGGGAUGGUUUUGUUGCAAAAGUAGCAGUCUAAUUAGAAGAUUGCAGUUUUCUGUUUCUGGCCUAGAUUUCAGUCAAGAGAUGAGCUGCUGUAGUCAGUGCAUCCAGUUUCCCUGAUCUUUGUCAGGAUUCUCUGCAGCUAAGCUUACAAUAACUUUUUCUGUUUUGGAAAGCUCUUUGUUCAAAUUAAUCCUUCAGAUUUUAAUUCUUACUUUAAAAAAAACGCUAAACAACAACAACAAAUCAUAAAAACCAAAUCCUGUCUUCUGGGUAUUUAGGAAGUGAGAGAAAGCAUCAUAACUUGCUGUUGCUCUGCUGGAACAAACGGUGAAAAUUACUUAAUCUAGUUUCAGUCUCUGUUUUAUGCUUGGCAAAUAAAAGAAAUAGAGGAAAAAGAGACAAGUACAAGAAAUGCUGGCUGUUCUGGGAUUUAUUUUCUUUUGCAAUUGAGAACUAGUAAACCUAGUUACUGUCUGACUAUCAAAACCCUGUAGUCUGUCAAAAUAUUGUAGUACAAAAUAAGAUGGACAAGCAUUGCAUCUGAUGAAUGGGAACAGGGAAAGGAAAACCAGGUUAGAGAAAUAUGAGAGAGAACAGGAGGAAUACUUUGUUUCCUGGCAACUUUCUCACAGUGCCCUGCAGCCCAGAGAUGCUUCUCUCUAAAUUCAUUGGAUGUGACAGUGAUGUGAAAUUUUACAGCUUGUAUCACAAGCUUUCCUUUUUGUUCAGUCUAAAGCUCUGCUUAUGACAGCAGGGAAAAGAAACCCAGGAGGUGAUAGGGCUUCACUUCUGAUUGGGAAUUUUGCAUUUGUUGCUGGUGUUAGUGAUGAAUAGCCCAGAGCUGCUAUCGCAGAUGCAGGGCUGGCUUUUCUGCUCACUCUCUCCUUCAGCUGGUAGGUACAGAGGGACCAUCAGGGCACAAGUUUUAGCUCUCACUGUGUCUAGCUCCACACUUGUUUAAAGCCAUCCAAAUAAUUGCCUGGUAUCAGCAGGUGCAUUUCAGGAGUUUGCCAAAUAAGUGAGCAAAGGCUACUGGGCAGUGCCUUCUGUCCACGUGGCUUGAGGUGCAAAAUCUGAGUCAGGGAAGUCACAGCUUAGAAUAUGUUUUGAAGAAAGACAAACAAAAAAAGCAGCCAAUACACUAUACCACCACCCACGAAUUAGACAAAGAGGCUUUAAAAGUACCCUGUGUUUGCUGUAGAAUUCCUCUAUUUAAAAAUACUUUCUAAUGACCUCUUGACUUAGUCUCUGCAGAAGAACCUUCCAGGAGUACCCAGCUGACCACCCUGAUCCUGCUUUCCAGAGCAGAACUUACUCCUUGAGCAGUGAUGCCCCAAUGUCCUGCCUGCACCUACUCUUUGUGAGAGGAGCCCUGCGCUGGAGGAUUGGGUGGCUCAAGGGCCCAGCAGAGCUUUCCAGCUGAUCCCAGCUCUGCGGGUGAGUCGCUGCCUCAGCUGGGCAGAGCUGUGGCUGCAGGGGGUUCUCAGCACGGGCAGGAGAGGCUGAGGAGCAGAAGGGCUGAGGAGAGGACGCCUGCAGCACUGUGCAGCUGGGAAAGGCAAGGAACAGCAAUCCUGGGAUCCUGGCUCCCACACCUCGCUCCCAGGUUUAGAACAUCAGAUGACUCUUAGCAGAUGUGAAAUGCUUCUGGAAGCCAAACAGUGGUUCUGUUGAUAUCCUUUGGACCACCCUGUUGUAAGUUGCACAUCCUCGUUAAAACAGGGAUGAAAUGGUCCCCAGGACCUGUCCCUGCUCUCUGUGGGUACUGCUGCACCAGCAAACUCCAGAGGGCCCCUGAGUGCAGAGACCUGGAGUGCAGUC